rnacentral:lncRNA from 1 species
GCUUGAGGAUGAUGUUGCAAGCCGCACAUGCGUCCGGCCUCUAGGAGUCAUCCACACGAGCCCAUGAAUCUCGAUCAGAAGUCCUGCUUCAGGAAAUCAGCACAGUAUGCUAGUACUGAGCUGAUCCUUCUUUGAUGGUUGAUCAGGUGCCUCCUUCUUCUUGAUUUGGACUCUUCCAAAGAUGAAAAGUAGAAGGAGGAGUUUCAGAUCUGAGACGCUCUCAGGAAACUCAAGAUGGAGGGAGGAAAGAUAUGAAAACAAACAACCCUAGAAGAAGACCCUCUUCUUCUUCUCAUUUUUCUCUCUAGACACCCUAACUUGUGUCUAUUAUAUCUCCAUGACCCAAAGGUUUUUCUCUCUGAUUUUUGGAUGGC